rnacentral:lncRNA from 1 species
UUCCACCCCAUCAUGGCAGACUGGGCUUACAGGUGAUCAGAGUCACAACUCCCACAUGGGUCACAAAGAUGGGAAUGAGCAGGAAUCAGGAUAAAUAACUCUGACUUCAGCCAAAGAGUCCUGUGCUUACAGUUCAAGAACCUGAAAUUUAGGAAUA